GUGAGGAAUAUUGGUCAAUGGGCGAGAGCCUGAACCAGCCAAGUCGCGUGAAGGAAGAAGGAUCUAUGGUUCGUAAACUUCUUUUGCAGGGGAAUAAAGUGCAGGACGUGUCCUGUUUUGUAUGUACCCUGAGAAUAAGGAUCGGCUAACUCCGUGUCAGCAGCCGCGGUAAUACGGAGGAUCCGAGCGUUAUCCGGAUUUAUUGGGUUUAAAGGGUGCGUAGGUGGUUUGAUAAGUCAGCGGUGAAAGUUUGCAGCUUAACUGUAAAAAUGCCGUUGAAACUGUCGGACUUGAGUGUAAAUGAGGUAGGCGGAAUGCGUGGUGUAGCGGUGAAAUGCAUAGAUAUCACGCAGAACUCCGAUUGCGAAGGCAGCUUACUAAGCUACAACUGACACUGAAGCACGAAAGCGUGGGGAUCAAACAGGAUUAGAUACCCUAGUAGUCC
rnacentral:rRNA from 1 species